GCUCUGCUCCUGGAGAGCUGCAGAGGGGUGACCUCCAGACCACCAGAGGGAGCAAUAGGAGAGGCGUGAGAGAAGCCGUCGAGACAAUUCGAGGAGGAACCAGC